GCCAUAGCUCAGUGGCAGAGCAUCUGCUUGGCAUGCAGAAGGUCCCAGGUCCGAUCCCUGGUAUCUCCA